rnacentral:rRNA from 1 species
AGCGAACGCUGGCGGCAGGCCUAACACAUGCAAGUCGCACGAUACUCCGGGAUAGUGGCGGACGGGUGAGUAACACGUUGGAACGUGACCUUUGGCUCGGAUUAACUCAGGGAUACUUGAGCUAAUACCGGAUGUGCCCUUGGGGGGAAAGAUUUAUCGCCAUUGGAGCGGCCCGCGUUGGAUUAGCUAGUUGGUGGGGUAAAGGCCCACCAAGGCUACGAUCCAUAGCUGGUCUGAGAGGAUGAUCAGCCACGCUGGGACUGAGACACGGCCCAGACUCCUACGGGAGGCAGCAGUGGGGAAUCUUGCGCAAUGGGCGAAAGCCUGACGCAGCCAUGCCGCGUGAAUGAUGAAGGUCUUAGGAUUGUAAAAUUCUUUCACCGGGGACGAUAAUUACGGUACCCGGAGAAGAAGCCCCGGCUAACUUCGUGCCAGCCGCCGCGGUAAUAC